AUUGAACGCUGGCGGCAGGCCUAACACAUGCAAGUCGAACGGUAACAGGAAGAAGCUUGCUUCUUUGCUGACGAGUGGCGGACGGGUGGGUAAUGUCUGGGAAACUGCCUGAUGGAGGGGGAUAACUACUGGAAACGGUAGCUAAUACCGCAUAACGUCGCAAGACCAAAAAGGGGGACCUUCGGGCCUCUUGCCAUCGGAUGUGCCCAGAUGGGAUUAGCUAGUAGGUGGGGUAACGGCUCACCUAGGCGACGAUCCCUAGCUGGUCUGAGAGGAUGACCGGCCACACUGGAACUGAGACACGGUCCAGACUCCUACGGGAGGCAGCAGUGGGGAAUAUUGCACAAUGGGCGCAAGCCUGAUGCAGCCAUGCCGCGUGUAUGAAGAAGGCCUUCGGGUUGUAAAGUACUUUCAGCGGGGAGGAAGGGAGUAAAGUUAAUACCUUUGCUCAUUGACGUUACCCGCAGAAGAAGCACCGGCUAACUCCGUG
rnacentral:rRNA from 1 species